GCCGGAUUUAUACUAGCUAUAGAAUUGGAUAGAAAUGAUAGAAUGUUUAGAUUUGGAGACAGUUUUUUUUCCAACUCACUUGUGCAAUGCUAACGAGCUGUUGCGUGUUUGCAUGUGCAUAAAGUUUGGAUUUGGAGACGGGGGUGUUUACACUAUGCCAACAAGCUGUCCCGUUUUUUACCCAGAUGUAAAUACAUGACUGACCGAUUUAAAAUGAGACAGUGUUCACAAUUCGGACUUUUAAUCGUGGCAGACAAGUGCCACAUUAUUGGUGGGGGGCAACAUUUUUUGUGGUAAUAGUUAAAGAAAUUCAUCUUUAAAUUCCGGCUGAUGAGCUUUGACACAGUACAAAAUAAGCACUGCUAUAUUCAUGUAGGCUUCUGUGAUCACAGCCAGUGUCUUGUUGUUGUUUUCACCUGUUCUUCAAUAAAAGCUCAAUUAUCAUCGCAAGAGUAUAUAUAUAUAAAAAAAAACAUUUGUAGUUUUGUGAUUUAAUUUCAGCCAGUUAAAAUAUCUAAUCCAUGUUUUUAUUCAUUUUCUAGCAAUCACUGAGGCAUGGCAUCCUCCAAAGGCUGUAUCACUGACUGUCCAGCAUCUUGGAGAGACAGCACGUGGAUAUGGCUAUCGUCCCUCUGCUGACUGAUGGUGACAUGGAAGCUGCAGUAGCAGCUCUGACCAUAGAAGAUGUUGCCGAUAUUGAUCAUCGUGAAACUUUUGCUUUGGUUGUCACAGCUUGUGCCGUCCUCCACAAUAUCCAACACCGAGGCCCCAGAGGAUGAUGUGGAGGAAGCUGGUUUGAAGGUCACCAGCGGUGCUUUCUGGCAGGACCAACUACCUACUGUUUCUGCCCUGUGGGAGGUACCACCUGACUUGAUUACUUUUAUCAGCAUCCGUCCACAGCCAACCCUGUAAACCCUGAAGAUGGACGAUGCAGUCUACAGUGAAGAUGAUCCUGAAACUCUGCAGACCAUCCUGCAAGAUGUUCCAAUCACCACCCAGAAAGUUCCAUCCCCGCGUCUCAGUUGAAGCAUCUCAUCCAUGUCGACCAUCUUUGCAAAUAGUGUUACAAUGAAUGACGAUUACUGUGUUGGAUUUAUACCUUUAUUUGUAUUAAAAAAGCAAACAUUUUAAUACAUCAAAUAUAAACUUCAUUUAUUCUCAGAAAUCAAA